rnacentral:lncRNA from 1 species
AGGCAAAGACCUUCUUUAAAGCAACCAGUCUACAGAAUAAGAAUCUAGUUGUAGAAAAAAAUGACCUUUUGGAAAGGUAUGGACAAUGCUGCAUAAAAGGCUCCUAUGAAGUAUGGCUAAUGAAAUUCAAGAGUUCAAAAGUCUAGUGUUGUAAUCUACUAGAUAUCUACCAAUUUCAUUAAUUUAAAGAUUUCUUUUUGGUCAUUAUAAGAAUCAAAUGGGAUAACUUCAUUAAGAUCAACCUUCUUGAUACCAGCAAAUGCUGAAAUAAUAAACAGUCACCUGAAUCUUCAAUUCAUACAACAGGCCUUUUUGAAUAAUAAAAGCCAAAUAUUGAUGCAGAAAGCAAAUUCAAAAGAUGUAAUGCAGGGAUUUUAUAUGCAUCGUUCGGCUAUGAAUUCUUCUGGACAGUGUAUAUGUGUAUUCUCUCUCUUUGUGUGUCUAAGAAAAAAUGGAAUUAACCUAAUAUAAAUGCCAAUUGCUAACAUUUACAGAAUAUUGAAGGGGAAAUAAGGAUCAAGUGCUCAUUUGACAAGAAGAGGAAUCCCUAUUUGCUAUCAUAAACAAUCCAAUUGAGACAUUAAGCAAUUGCCAUCACACAGUAAAGUACUGUACCCGCCCUUCUCCACUUUCAAGCUAUUUGAGAGAUCUGGAGUCAGAUAGCACCUGACUCCAUAAACGGCAGUUUCUAGACACUUUAAAAUUCAGAUACUUUAACCUUGAUUGUAUUUUCCUGCAUGUCCCAACAAAGUAUUCCCAUCACCAAAGUCUGGCAAAUCCUCUGUUUUCUGAGGGCCACAGACAGUAGAAGUACAUAAAAUAUCGUAAAGAACACCAUUCUGAAAACAAGGAAAUUCCAUACAGGAAACAAUCAGGGCCAGCUAACACCUCCCAACAAAAAAAUUCACUCAGGGAGGAAGCAGCCACGCUUUAAAGCUGCAAGGCCAUUACAUGCCAAUCAUUUUGCCUAAUUGCAGCAUUCAUACUUGCCUCCAACAGACAAAAAAAAAACAAUCAGAAAUAUUGUAUAUUCACAACCUUUAGGAAAUAAUAUCCCCUGAUGGCGCAGCGUGUUAAAGCGCUGAGCUGCUGAACUUCUGGACCGAAAGAUCGCAGGUUUGAAUUGGGGGAGCGGAGAGAGCCCCCACUGUUAGCCCCAGCUUCUGCCAACCCUAAAGUUCAA